CUUUUCUCAGCUCAGUCUCCUAAUUGAAAGGCUGAGUUGUAGACUGUGCGCCGUGGGUGAGAUCGCGCCACCGCCCAGGCUCUGCACGCCCAGGGAACAGUGGCUAGGGCAGCUGCCCGCAGCCACCGGGCUGCCCAGGAGCAGGGCCUAAUUACCUACAGGAACUGUUAAGAAACCAAGUAAAAGUCUCCUGUAAGCUUUUGGACUCCUGGAAAAACCCUUUGCUGAGGAUUG
rnacentral:lncRNA from 1 species